GGAAUAUUGGUCAAUGGACGAGAGUCUGAACCAGCCAAGUAGCGUGCAGGAUGACGGCCCUAUGGGUUGUAAACUGCUUUUAUGCGGGGAUAAAGUGAGGGACGUGUCCCUUUUUGUAGGUACCGCAUGAAUAAGGACCGGCUAAUUCCGUGCCAGCAGCCGCGGUAAUACGGAAGGUCCGGGCGUUAUCCGGAUUUAUUGGGUUUAAAGGGAGCGCAGGCUGAUUGUUAAGCGUGACGUGAAAUGUAGCCGCUCAACGGCUGAACUGCGUCGCGAACUGGUUAUCUUGAGUGAGUUCGAUGUUGGCGGAAUUCGUGGUGUAGCGGUGAAAUGCUUAGAUAUCACGAAGAACGCCGAUUGCGAAGGCAGCCAACAAGGCCUUUACUGACGCUAAAGCUCGAAGGUGCGGGUAUCGAACA
rnacentral:rRNA from 1 species